GUACUAUGAUAAUUGCAUAUAGUUCAACAGAUUGAAUCAUCAAGAGAUUUAAUAUUUGUCUGAUAUAUCU
ensembl:snoRNA